UUUCAGGCCUCCUUAUUCUCUGUCAACUGGACAUGGUCCACGGAGAACUCCAAAGACCAGAGGAUGAUGGAGCCUCUAGGAGGGAGGGCCCAGGGCUUCUGAAUCACCUUGUGGAAGGAUGCUGCUGAGUAUCUCAUCAGACUGUGCUAUGACUGGGGGAUGAAUCUUCAUUAGGUGACACUACUGAGAAGUGGGGUUGUUUGCUACAGUGGUAAGACUGUCUGACCAAUACAAGGUGGCUGCAAAAUCUGACUUUCCAAGGGCCCACAUACCUGCCUUAUUUUGUGCCUCAGCCUUCUCAUUUAUAAAAUGGGAUACGACAGUACUUACAUCAUAGGGAUGUGAUGAGAAUUAGAAAGGAAUGGUUUCACCAAAUCAAUGGCUGUGUAGAAUGUCCC
rnacentral:lncRNA from 1 species